rnacentral:rRNA from 1 species
ACGAACGCUGGCGGCAUGCCUAACACAUGCAAGUCGAACGAUGCCUUCGGGCAUAGUGGCGCACGGGUGCGUAACGCGUGGGAAUCUGCCUUUCGGUUCGGAAUAACUCAGGGAAACUUGAGCUAAUACCGGAUAACGUCGCAAGACCAAAGAUUUAUCACCGAAAGAUGAGCCCGCGUAGGAUUAGCUAGUUGGUGAGGUAAAGGCUCACCAAGGCGACGAUCCUUAGCUGGUCUGAGAGGAUGAUCAGCCACACUGGGACUGAGACACGGCCCAGACUCCUACGGGAGGCAGCAGUGGGGAAUAUUGGACAAUGGGCGAAAGCCUGAUCCAGCAAUGCCGCGUGAGUGAUGAAGGCCUUAGGGUUGUAAAGCUCUUUUACCCGGGAAGAUAAUGACGGUACCGGGAGAAUAAGCCCCGGCUAACUCCGU